AGAGUUUGAUCAUGGCUCAGAUUGAACGCUGGCGGCAUGCCUUACACAUGCAAGUCGAACGGCAGCACGAGAGCUUGCUCUUGGUGGCGAGUGGCGAACGGGUGAGUAAUAUAUCGGAACGUACCCUAGAGUGGGGGAUAACGUAGCGAAAGUUACGCUAAUACCGCAUACGACCUACGGAUGAAAGUGGGGGAUCGCAAGACCUCAUGCUCAUGGAGCGGCCGAUAUCUGAUUAGCUAGUUGGUGGGGUAAAAGCUCACCAAGGCGACGAUCAGUAGCUGGUCUGAGAGGACGACCAGCCACACUGGAACUGAGACACGGUCCAGACUCCUACGGGAGGCAGCAGUGGGGAAUUUUGGACAAUGGGCGCAAGCCUGAUCCAGCAAUGCCGCGUGAGUGAAGAAGGCCUUCGGGUUGUAAAGCUCUUUUGUCAGGGAAGAAACGGUGGACUCUAAUACAGAUCACUAAUGACGGUACCUGAAGAAUAAGCACCGGCUAACUACGUGCCAGCAGCCGCGGUAAUACGUAGGGUGCAAGCGUUAAUCGGAAUUACUGGGCGUAAAGCGUGCGCAGGCGGUUGUGCAAGACAGAUGUGAAAUCCCCGGGCUCAACCUGGGAAUUGCAUUUGUGACUGCACGGCUAGAGUGUGUCAGAGGGGGGUAGAAUUCCACGUGUAGCAGUGAAAUGCGUAGAGAUGUGGAGGAAUACCGAUGGCGAAGGCAGCCCCCUGGGAUAACACUGACGCUCAUGCACGAAAGCGUGGGGAGCAAACAGGAUUAGAUACCCUGGUAGUCCACGCCCUAAACGAUGUCUACUAGUUGUCGGGUCUUAAUUGACUUGGUAGCGCAGCUAACGCGUGAAGUAGACCGCCUGGGGAGUACGGUCGCAAGAUUAAAACUCAAAGGAAUUGACGGGGACCCGCACAAGCGGUGGAUGAUGUGGAUUAAUUCGAUGCAACGCGAAAAACCUUACCUACCCUUGACAUGUCUGGAAUCCUUGAGAGAUCAGGGAGUGCUCGAAAGAGAAUCAGAACACAGGUGCUGCAUGGCUGUCGUCAGCUCGUGUCGUGAGAUGUUGGGUUAAGUCCCGCAACGAGCGCAACCCUUGUCAUUAGUUGCUACGAAAGGGCACUCUAAUGAGACUGCCGGUGACAAACCGGAGGAAGGUGGGGAUGACGUCAAGUCCUCAUGGCCCUUAUGGGUAGGGCUUCACACGUCAUACAAUGGUACAUACAGAGGGCCGCCAACCCGCGAGGGGGAGCUAAUCCCAGAAAGUGUAUCGUAGUCCGGAUUGUAGUCUGCAACUCGACUACAUGAAGUUGGAAUCGCUAGUAAUCGCGGAUCAGCAUGUCGCGGUGAAUACGUUCCCGGGUCUUGUACACACCGCCCGUCACACCAUGGGAGCGGGUUUCACCAGAAGUGGGUAGCCUAACCGCAAGGAGGGCGCUCACCACGGUGGGAUUCGUGACUGGGGUGAAGUCGUAACAAGGUA
rnacentral:rRNA from 1 species